GGUUGUGGGAGCAGUGGUCUAAUGGUAAGACGCUGGAUUAGGGAUCGAGAGGUCCCGGGUUCGAAUCCCGCCCUGACCG